CACGUAGGGGACGAGCGUUGUUCGGAUUUACUGGGCGUAAAGGGCGUGCAGGCGGCGCAUUUUGUCAGGCGUGAAAGCCCCGGGCUUAACCUGGGAACUGCGUUUGAUACGGAUGGGCUAGAGUUCGGGAGAGGAGAGUGGAAUUCCCAGUGUAGAGGUGAAAUUCGUAGAUAUUGGGAAGAACACCGAUGGCGAAGGCAGCCAUCUGGACCGACACUGACGCUGAGGCGCGAAAGCGUGGGGAGCAAACAGG
rnacentral:rRNA from 1 species